rnacentral:rRNA from 1 species
AUUGAACGCUGGCGGCAGGCCUAACACAUGCAAGUCGAACGGUAACAGGAAGAAGCUUGCUUCUUUGCUGACGAGUGGCGGACGGGUGAGUAAUGUCUGGGAAACUGCCUGAUGGAGGGGGAUAACUACUGGAAACGGUAGCUAAUACCGCAUAACGUCGCAAGACCAAAGAGGGGGACCUUCGGGCCUCUUGCCAUCGGAUGUGCCCAGAUGGGAUUAGCUAGUAGGUGGGGUAACGGCUCACCUAGGCGACGAUCCCUAGCUGGUCUGAGAGGAUGACCAGCCACACUGGAACUGAGACACGGUCCAGACUCCUACGGGAGGCAGCAGUGGGGAAUAUUGCACAAUGGGCGCAAGCCUGAUGCAGCCAUGCCGCGUGUAUGAAGAAGGCCUUCGGGUUAUAAAGUACUUUCAGCGGGGAGGAAGGGAGUAAAGUUAAUACCUUUGCUCAUUGACGUUACCCGCAGAAGAAGCACCGGCUAACUCCGUG